rnacentral:tRNA from 1 species
GCUGAAAUAGCUUAGUUGGGAGAGUGUUAGACUGAAUAUCUAAAGGUCCCUGGUUAUAACCAGGGUUUGGUA